UAUUGCACAAUGGGCGCAAGCCUGAUGCAGCCAUGCCGCGUGUAUGAAGAAGGCCUUCGGGUUGUAAAGUACUUUCAGCAGUGAGGAAGGUGGGUAUGUUAAUAGCAUACUCAUUUGACGUUAGCUGCAGAAGAAGCACCGGCUAACUCCGUGCCAGCAGCCGCGGUAAUACGGAGGGUGCGAGCGUUAAUCGGAAUUACUGGGCGUAAAGCGCAUGCAGGUGGUUUGUUAAGUCAGAUGUGAAAGCCCGGGGCUCAACCUCGGAAUUGCAUUUGAAACUGGCAAACUAGAGUACUGUAGAGGGGGUAGGAAUUUCAGGUGUAGCGGUGAAAUGCGUAGAGAUCUGAAGGAAUACCGGUGGCGAAGGCGGCCCCCUGGACAGAUACUGACACUCAGAUGCGAAAGCGUGGGGAGCAAACAGGAUUAGAUACCCUGGUAG
rnacentral:rRNA from 1 species